GUGGUGGAGGCCGGCUCGGACAUGGUCUUCCGGUGGACCAUCAACGACAAGCAGUCCCUGACCUUCCAGAACGUGGUCUUCAAUGUCAUUUAUCAGAGCGCGGCGGUCUUCAAGCUCUCACUGACGGCCUCCAACCACGUGAGCAACGUCACCGUGAACUACAACGUCACCGUGGAGCGGAUGAACAGGAUGCAGGGCCUGCGGGUCUCCACAGUGCCGGCCGUGCUGUCCCCCAAUGCCACGCUGGCACUGACGGCGGGCGUGCUGGUGGACUCGGCCGUGGAGGUGGCCUUCCUGUGGACCUUUGGGGAUGGGGAGCAGGCUCUCCACCAGUUCCAGCCUCCGUACAACGAGUCCUUCCCGGUUCCAGACCCUCGGUGGCCCAGGUGCUGGUGGAGCACAAUGUCACGCACACCUACGCUGCCCCAGCUUCCCCCGCGUCGGAGACCACGUGGUGAGCGUGCAGGGCAAAAACCACGUGAGCUGGGC
rnacentral:sRNA from 1 species